UUAGGUCAGGAUAGUUGGAUCAUGCCGGGAAUACAAGGUCGGGAAACUGGAAGUUCGAGUCGGACAGUUCUGGCAAGAUGACAAAUGGGUUGUGGUUGGGAAGGGUUCAAGUCAAUAUGAGAAUGAAAAGCAUGGUGAAAUUUCAACUCUAAAAGCUCAGAAAGUCACUUUCAAGAGAUUCUACACUGCAGCCUCUCAGAAUCUGAAAAGAGGAUCAUCAAACUUGUAUUCCCAAGAUGAAGCUUAUGGUGGAGCAACUGAGAAGUUUCGAGCAGUUGAGAGAGAUGGAAGGUGUCAAAGAGUCAUUGCUAGCAACUUAUCUAGAUUAGCUGAAUAGGAAGAUGUUGCUUUGCCAAGUCAGAUGUUGGGUGGAAAAGAACUAUGUGCUACUCUUAACAACAGAACAACCGUAUUGUCUGAGGUUGAUCUAGAAAAGAAGAAAUCAAAUGGUAAUGUUGGGUGUUGAUUUGCUGUUAAAUUGAAGUCAGAUGAUGUUGAUACUAUUACGUGCUCAGUAGGUAGCUGUAGCAUCGGUAGAAAUGAUCCCUAUAAGUCACCUCAUCAUGUUUCUUCGGGUUCUACUGGAGAUUUUAAAGACCAGUUUUGUGAUGCUGAAUCUGUUUGUCACUUGGGAUAUGAGGAAGAAAACUGUGUCCUUCCCACAAAGAAAGAAUUGGUUGCUGAGAUCCAUAGGUUAGAGCUGCAAGCCUACCGGUGCACAAUAGAGGCAUUGCAUGCAUCGGGACCUUUAAGCUGGGAACAAGAAGAAUUGGUGACAAAUCUUCGUCUUUCACUUCAUAUAUCAAAUGAUGAACAUUUAUUGGAACUUAGAAACUUAAUAUCUGCAGAUAACAACAUUCAAAUUAGAUGACAGGAAAACUAGAAUUAUGUCUUGUGAUUCAAUUUUUCCCUCUAGCUGUAGUGUCUGAUGAAUGAUACUCAUAAUGACCUGGCUGCACUGUAAGAAAGAAGAUGAGUUGUUUUCAUAUCCUUUUGUAUUUAGUUAAAACAUAGUGGUUCAGUUCAAAGUUCAAGCUCAAUGUAGUACAGACUUUUCUCAGUA